rnacentral:rRNA from 1 species
GACGUAGGGCGCAAGCGUUGUCCGGAUUUAUUGGGCGUAAAGAGCUCGUAGGUGGUUUGUCGCGUUGUUCGUGAAAACUCACAGCUUAACUGUGGGCGUGCGGGCGAUACGGGCAGACUGGAGUACUGCAGGGGAGACUGGAAUUCCUGGUGUAGCGGUGGAAUGCGCAGAUAUCAGGAGGAACACCGGUGGCGAAGGCGGGUCUCUGGGCAGUAACUGACGCUGAGGAGCGAAAAGCGUGGGGGAGCAAACAGG